ACGGGGUGCAGCAGGCGCGAAAACUUUACAAUGCUGGAAACAGCGAUAAGGGGACCUCGAGUGCCAGGUUACAAAUCUGGCUGUCGUGAUGCCUAAAAAGCAUUGCAUAGCAAGGGCCGGGCAAGACCGGUGCCAGCCGCCGCGGUAACACCGGCGGCUCGAGUGGUAACCGUUAUUAUUGGGUCUAAAGGGUCUGUAGCCGGCCGGGUAAGUCUCUUGGGAAAUCUGGCAGCUUAACUGUCAGGCUUUCAGGAGAUACUGUCUGGCUCGAGGCCGGGAGAGGUGAGAGGUACUUCAGGGGUAGGGGUGAAAUCUUGUAAUCCUUGAAGGACCACCAGUGGCGAAGGCGUCUCACCAGAACGGACCUGACGGCAAGGGACGAAAGCUAGGGGCACGAACCGGAUUAGAUACCCGGGUAGUCCUAGCCGUAAACGAUACUCGCUAGGUGUCGGCAACGGUGCGACCGUUGUCGGUGCCGUAGGGAAGCCGUGAAGCGAGCCACCUGGGAAGUACGGCCGCAAGGCUGAAACUUAAAGGAAUUGGCGGGGGAGCACCACAACGGGUGGAGCUUGCGGUUUAAUUGGAUUCAACGCCGGAAAUCUUACCGGGACCGACAGCAAUAUGAAGGCCAGGCUGAAGACUUUGCCGGAUUAGCUGAGAGGUGGUGCAUGGCCGUCGUCAGUUCGUACUGUGAACCAUCCUGUUA
rnacentral:rRNA from 1 species